GGGUGGCGUGGAAGGCGGACCGGCUGCGGACCGGGACCGUGCUGGUGGCCACGCUGGUGUCCGGGGCGAUGGCGGCGUUCGGGUUGCUGGCCACGCA
rnacentral:tRNA from 1 species